rnacentral:rRNA from 1 species
AGCAGCCGCGGUAAUUCCAGCUCCAAUAGCGUAUAUUAAAGUUGUUGCAGUUAAAAAGCUCGUAGUUGAAUUUCGGGGUUAGUAGGUUGGUCAUGCCAUUGGUAUGUACUGAUCUCACUGAUUCCUCCUUCCUGAUGAACCGUAAUGCCAUUAAUUUGGUGUUGCGGGGGGACUGGACUGUUACUUUGAAAAAAUUAGAGUGUUUAAAGCAGGCUAACGCUUGAAUACAUUAGCAUGGAAUAAUGAAAUAGGACGUUCGAUCCUAUUUUGUUGGUUUCUAGGAUUGACGUAAUGAUUAAUAGGGAUAGUUGGGGGCAUUAGUAUUCAAUUGUCAGAGGUGAAAAUUCUUGGAUUUAUUGAAGACUAACUACUGCGAGAGCAUUUGCCAAGGAUGUUUUCAUUAAUCAAGAACGAAAAGUUAGGGAUCGAAGACGAUCAGAUACCGUCGUAGUCUUAACCAUAAACUAUGCCGACUAGGGAUCGGAUGAUGUUAAUUUUUUAAAUUGACUCAUUCGGCGUC